UCUCAAUGCCUCAAUGUUCCGAUUCUCGGGGAGGCGGGAAAGACCUGGGAAAUGAAGGAGCUGUCUGCACAGGAUGGGAUCCAGGACAGAAGAAGGGCAUAUUCUCCUUCCUCCCACCCGUGCUCUCCCUCGGCUCCUCCAAGAUGGCCACGGGCCUGGGGCAAUUUCUCGCAUUUGUGACACAGCAAACCUUGCAAGGUCUUCGGGUGGUAGAGCAGAUGGGACGAGGAGGGAGAUGAUCCUAUGACACCAGACAGAGGCAGAGCCAGGUGGAGAGAGGUUGCCGCACGUAUUUUCCGGGUGACAGAUAAAUUAUAAAUAUGCAAAAUGAGGAUGACAGCAGAAAAGCAACUUUCCUGGACAAUAGAGCGUGAAGGGGCAUUAGACAUCAUUUUGUCCCACCCUACCCGAGGGCUGGCUUCACGGGUGUGCGACCUGUGAGGACACACAGAGCCCCACACUGGGAAGGGUCCCGCUCAGGGGUUAACGAUCUGCUGUUGCCAUCUUGAAAUUCGUAGGCAUUUUUUUAACCAGAGGCCCGCAUUUUCAUUGUCUGCUAUGCCCCAAAGAUUAGGUACCCGGUCCUGCCCCUGGCCUUCCCAGUGAAUAAAGGAGCCCAGCGAGGGAAAAUGCUGCUCAGGGUCACGCUGCUCAUUUUUACUGUCAAACCAGGGUAAACAGCCAGUCCAGAGUUCUCCACCAGUCUCACUCUGCUGUCUCUGUUCAGGGCCUCCUCCCACCGAGGGUCCUGUGCUCUGUCGCUUCGCCUGCUCCAGGUGGGCGCUUGGGGGGAGGUUGGGGGGUCUCAGGUGGCCCAGCCUGGGCCUAGUGUUCGUUGACAGGCCUGCAGCUCCAGGUACCCGAGAACUCAGGCAAUGAUGAUGGGGUCUCAGGUCUGCCCUUUCUGCCUCUGAGCCUCCCUCUGAGCAUCUCUGAUCAUUGUACCUAUUGUGAGCAAUAUCGCAAGAACUAGAGAGAACGUACGUCAGGAGCCCCGCCAUGCCAGCUCCCCUGGGCUUUCAGUAGCACGUGGCCUGGCAUCUGGCCUAGUGCACAUGCUCGAUAAAGCUUUCCGGGGCUGAUUUUGUCUCUAGCUCUGCUUGUCCUGGCCUAAGAUUGUGGCUGGAGACAGCCCUACUGUCACCCCUAACACUGCCCUUUAGUACCUGCUGUUCAAACUAAGGUCUGGGGGCCAGCAGCAGCCGCCUCCCCUGGGAACUCCUCAGAAAUGCUGACUCUCAGGCCCUACCCCAGACCUACUGAAUCAGACUCUGCGCUUCACCAGGAUUCCCAGGUGGAAAAAUGAGAGCCGAAGAAGAAGGAGACGCAAAUGGGGAAGAACAGACCAAGGUGAAGCAUUCAGGAGGCCACAUGCUCUGUAGUGCAGCUGAAAGAUAACAGAGCCUCUUUCAACCUGGGUCCCUGAGUGACUGAGUACAAUCGAGCCCCCUGCCAAUCAGUCUUGGAUGUAAAACAUGAGAUGGAUCAAGAACAUCAUUCCAUGUCACUCAAGUCCUUCUACUAGGAUGCAGCACAUACCCCAAGGCCACCAAACCCUACGUGGCCCAACCCAACCUCAGUGAUCAAGGUGAUGACCCGUGGGCUACCCAGAAAGCCUGAUGCCUGGAUCGUACUUGACCUCACAGAGGUAAACAGUGAGACUCAGUCUGGAGGGACCAAACAUUCACAGAGGGUGAAAACACAGGUGGCAGUGACUUUAAGAGGAGACAGCAGACUCCAGGCAAAGGGCUCAGCAGGUGUCAUGGGCUCGAGAUGAUUCAGAAGACUCCGAGGUGUCAGCGGACCGGAGGCGGUGUGGCUGGAAGUGAGCCCCACUCUGAGACUUGGUAGCUGAGAGCCUUUGGGUAAAUCAUUUGUCCCUGAAUCUUAGUUUCCUCAUCUAAAAAAAAAAAAACACCUCCCUUGUUGAGCUACGCAGGAUUGAAAUACCACCAAACAGGAUUAUUUUGUGCUGGGCGUAAUUCCAAACAUCUACAUCCAUUAAAUCAUUUAAUCCUCUCAACAAACCUCUGAAACAAGUAAUAUUAUCGUGUCCAUUUCAGACUGGAAGGAAAUGAGGAAUGAAAGGGUAAGUAACUUGCCCAAGGUCACCCAGCUAAUUGAUAACGGAUCCAGGAAGCGUCGAGCAUAGUGGAACAGCUGCCCCAAAGGUUUGAGUUAGAAGACCAGCUUGCAGGAGAUGACAGAGCAAUGACAUCUGUGACACUUCUCUGGUCUGCGGAAAGGCAAGGACCAUCCUGUCAAGUGCUGAAAUCAAAUUGUUCUGUUUUUUCUUUUCCCUUCAUGGGAUUGAGUCUGGUACGAGUGUGUGUGUGUAUGAUUGUGUUAAAUGUGAGAGUGUGUGUGUGAUGGGAACAAGGAGGUUCGGGGAUGGGGUGACCACCCCACACAUCUCUGGUCUCCCCAUAUUCACCACCCCCUGCCCCUCUGCCUUCAGACAUGUGCAGGUGAGCAGAGCCUUGGGAAGAUUUGGCCUCUUCCUGAUCCCUCUUCUUACUAUCGCCCCAUUUCUCCUCCUCCAAAUGAGCUCCAGGUUGAUCUGUUUCAUACUCUGGGCGUCCAGUUUAGGUCUUCUUAGGGAGGAAGGACUUCUACUGCUUUAUAAAGACUUUAAAAAUCGCCAGUGGAUGCAUAUUCUGUGCCCAAGGAUAUUUUAGACCAACUAGACUUUCCAGAAGGGCUGAGCUGCGAACAGUUGGAGGUUAGAGCCUCUGAUGAAAAAAACCUAAACAUAAUAAUAAAAUAGAUACCUUCAUUCAUUUGCAAGCAUUUAUGAAGUGCCUUUUAUGUACCAAGAUUCAAAUUUGCCAGGAUGCUGUCCUGCCUCCCCAGGGGCUCACAGCAUAGUAGGAAGACAACACAUGAAGAUUUGUGGUGUGAGGCAAAGAAGGAAUGUGUUGGGAAGACCACCAGGAGGGGGCUAUGGAAGACUUGCACCCAUUAACCAGCACAGAAACUGCUAGAACACGUGCCUUGAUCAUUUGCUUGUGCAGCAGCCCUGCUAGAAAUAAAUCCCACAGCCAACUUCACUUACCUCAAGACUCUAGAAAUUCUCCACUCGAGCUUUGCCAGGAUUGAUCCAAUUGGUUACUCUGUUUCCCUAAUACCAACACAAAGCGUGAAAACUGGGUAUCAGCCCUUAAUUUACAUUUUUCACCAUCAAGGUACUGGACUUGGUAUUGGAUUCAUAUUGAUAUAGAUACACACAGCAUGAGACACACUGAGGUUUCCC